rnacentral:rRNA from 1 species
AAUCAACGCUGGCGGCGUGCCUCAGACAUGCAAGUCGAACGCGAAAGUUCCCUUCGGGGGAUAAGUAGAGUGGCGUCCGGGUGAGUAACACGUAGGUAAUCUACCUUUGGGUGGGGAAUAACAACCGGAAACGGUUGCUAAUACCGCAUAGUGCAGCGGCACCACAUGGUGACAGUUGUUAAAGCGGGGGAUCGCAAGACCUCGCGCCUAAAGAGGAGCCUGCGGCGGAUUAGCUAGUUGGAGGGUAACGGCCUACCAAGGCAACGAUCCGUAGCCGGCCUGAGAGGGCGGUCGGCCACACUGACACUGAAAUACGGGUCAGACUCCUACGGGAGGCAGCAGUCGGGAAUUUUGGGCAAUGGGCGAAAGACCUGACCCAGCAACGCCGCGUGAAGGAUGAAAUCCCUCGGGAUGUAAAUUCGCAAGAACAGGAAGAAUAAGUAGGGGACAAUACCCCUAUGAUGACGGUACUGUUUGUAAGCUCCGGCUAACUCCGUGCCAGCCGCGCUGUAAG